GUGUUUAAAUUAGGGAAGAGUUUGAAUGAUAGAUUAUGAUUGUUAAGCCUCUAAGUGCCAUGUGAAACCUAGAGCAAAAUGUCUAACUUAGAAUUUCUAAGUUGCUAAUGCCUAUUUGACUGUAUGAAUCUAGAGAAUGCUCUAUGUUGAUGUCAAGUGGACUAGUUUGGGUGAAAAGUAAUUAAUGUGAAAGUUCUAUAUAAUAUAAGGUGGUGGAAUGUGAACAAGCUGUACAUAUAAAUGUAUAUGUACAUGUAUAUACGUAUGAAUGUAUAUAUGCUUAGUGUUGAAAUGGAAACUGAAUUAAGUAAGGUUGAAGUUCUGCAUUAGAAUAAAUAAAACUGCUGCGUAAAAGAAUGGAAUAAAAGAGUAUAUGUAUAGAGGCCUUAACACUAUACAUAUAUAUAUGUAUGUUGAAGUGAAAUGCAAGUUUUGUUAGAAUAGGAGUAUAACUUAAGUUUAAUCUCUUUUAUUCCUUUAUAAAUGAAAGUUAAACUUGCUCGAAAGUCUAAAUUGACAUUCCGACAGGUCGGCGACGUACUAAUUACAGUAGAAGCCAAUUCGGCUCUAAUUGCAUUGAGUCGUGUGAUAUUGUUGUUGGCACAGUUCGAGACGUGGAUUCUAGUUGUUGACACCACUACAGGUUCCAGUGCGAGCAUUGUGGUCGAGGAUCGCGGCAAGAGCCCUGCAGCCUAGCUAGCAGACACCAGUGUUUAGUGGUAUACCAUUUUGAGUUCAAGUGAGACAUUUUGAUGUACAGAGACAUGUAAAUGAAUGUAUUAUAAAGCUGUAAAUAACUAAAUGUUUCAGUUA